UCCUUCUUCUUUUCCUUCCUCUUCUAAUUAUUUUCGUCUUUUCCUUUCUUCUUUUUCAUUUUUUCCUUCUUCUUUUCCUCAUUUUUUCUUCUAACCUAACUAAUUAGCCUAAUAAUCUAACCUAAUAAACUAACUAAAUUAACCUAAAAUAAAAAACUAACCUAAUAAACUAACUAAACUAAUUAAAUUAAUAAAAAGAAAAC
rnacentral:lncRNA from 1 species